rnacentral:lncRNA from 12 species
GUAAAUGUUUUAUGCAAAUUGGAAGCAGGUUGACCUGUUGAUACUGAAAUAAACUUCUUUGGAUUUUCCUACAUGUACUCUCUUCUGGAGGAGGCAAUUGGAGGGAUUUGAAAUGUGUUUCUCAAGUCCAAAUAGAAGUCUUAACAUAUGUUUUGCAGGUGUAAAACUACCAGGUUUUGUAGGAAAACUGAUGCCUGUUUGGCUGCCUUGCAGAGGAGUGUUCAGGGCUGACAUAAAACUUAAGAAGGAAAAUGCACCUGUUCUUCUGCUGCCAUAUUCCUAUGGCUGUAGAUCUGUUCUGGAUCCUGAGCUGGUUCAUCUGAUUUUGGCCAUGAGCUUGUGAGCCUGUAACUGCCCUGCUGCUGUCAUCUGUCCUCCAUUUUACCACUUGAUUACAACUUAAAACAAUGCCUUAAAAUUUCCUUAAAAAGAAACCUUAAAAUAGCCUUACAGUAACCUUUAAAUAAUAAUGCUAAAAUAUGUUUUACCCUUAAAAUAAGCCUUCC